GGAGAAUAGAUAAUAUUUGGAUCUCGAAGGAGCUGACACAGAACUUAGCUAAAUCUGAAAUACUCCCACAAACUAUAUCUGACCAUAAUCCGGUAUUUAUGGAGAUAAAGGGUAAAGAUACUAGAGUAUUUAGAUGGAGAAUGAAUGAAGGUAUAUUUAAUAAUCAAAAGAUAGUAAGGGAGGCGAAAGAAACAAUCGAAGAAUACUUCAAGUGGAACUUACACAAAGAAACAGCUAUAGAAACGGUCUGGGAUGCAGGAAAAGCCGUUAUGAGGGGCUUCCUAAUUCAGAAAAACAGCCAUUUAAGAAAAGAAAAAGAGGAAAAAAGAGAAGAGAUUCUAACACAGCUUAUGGAGAAUGAAAGACAACUAGCUACUAAACCAGGUGACGAGACAAUAAAGCAAAAUUUAAAAAUAUUACAAGCCCAAUUUUCUAUGAUAGUUAACCAGGAAAUUGAGUGGAAAAUUAAAAUGAUGAAACAAAAGAACUUUGAAUCAGCUAAUAAAAUAGGAAAAUUCUUGGCGUGGCAAAUAAGAGAAAGGAAAAAACAAAAUACGAUCUGCAAGAUAAGGGAUGGAGAAAGGAUAGUGGAAGAGCCAAAAGAAAUAAAAAGGAUAUUUCAGACGUAUUAUAAGGAACUGUAUAAAAGAGGAAAGGAAAUAGAUUAUGAAAUAGACCGAUACCUGGAAGAUCACCAUUUACAACAGAUUGCCAUAGAAGAGAAAGAGUUAUUAGACCAGAGGAUUAC
rnacentral:lncRNA from 1 species